UACGAAGGGGGCUAGCGUUGCUCGGAAUCACUGGGCGUAAAGGGUGCGUAGGCGGGUCUUUAAGUCAGGGGGGAAAUCCUGGAGCUCAACUCCAGAAUUGCCUUUGAUACUGAAGAUCUUGAGUUCGGGAGAGGUGAGUGGAACUGCGAGUGUAGAGGUGAAAUUCGUAGAUAUUCGCAAGAACACCAGUGGCGAAGGCGGCUCACUGGCCCGAUACUGACGCUGAGGCACGAAAGCGUGGGGAGCAAACAGG
rnacentral:rRNA from 1 species